UAUACUUCAGCUAGAAAAGAUGCCACCAUACGUUUUCAACAGAGGAACCAAAUUCAGCUUCGUCCACCACCGCCCUUCAACAGCGACAUCGCCAUCUCCAUAUGCCCCAAUUGUGACUCUCAGUAGAAAGCCGAAGCUCAAGUGGUGCGCCUCUACUGCAAUCUCUUUUCAAGCCCCAAGAAUUAAUAUCUCCACCACACCAAGAACUCACCUCCUUUCUCCGACCUCCUCAAAACCCAUCCCUGAUUGUCACUUGAGAUGCAGACCUGAAUCAUUUUCUGAGACAUCGAAUUCCUCUGCCAGAGGAACAUGCUUCAGUGUCCUAUGGCAUUCACGAAUCGAUUGUCCUUGGAACAUGCCCCCUCUCUGAUAAACACAUUAUUCAUUUUGUGUAUUUUGAUUUCUUCCUGCUUUCAUCCAUGAUCCAUGUCUUCUUUUUUUAUUUUUAUUUGAAUUUUGCUUGCUGCAUUCCAGGUUUGAAAAGGGUUUGGUUUUCUGCUUGGUGUGUCAUUGUACAAAUACACUGCUGAAAGUGGCUUAAGUGCUUCCAAAUAAAUGUGGCACAGGGUUGGAGAAAAAUCUAACUGAGGUUGAGUUGUUGCGGAUGAGAAGAGAGAGAGUAUAUGAGGUUCAAAGGAAAAUGGACCAAUCUGAACUUGAACACGACUUGAGUGGCUUGGAUGUAAGUAAUUGUUAGUCUCCAUCAAAAUGCUGCAAUUACAUUUAAAUAUGUUUUUCCACUCAUGUGCACUUUAUGUAAAAACUUUUUGGACUUACCAUGUAAUACCCAUCUAGGUAACCAGCCCAGUUUAAUAAAUGUUAUGGCUUUUGAUUCAGUUUUGUUUUGAGAGUGAAAGUCACAAUUUGAGUUUUCCAUUUAGUUUUGGUCAGUUCUAAUUUUGAAAGCUUAAUUUCCUUUGUUUUUGGUGAAUGUCUCAAGGUCAUUGUAUAGUUAGUUGUUUUAAUUCAUAUUGUUACUUUUGAACAGGAAAACUUAUGAUCACAUGAUUUUGUAUCUGUUUUUUUUAUAGUAAUUAGCAUGUUAUUCUAUAGAUAACACUUCACUCUUUUGGUACAAUUCGAAGGGGAAUUUCUAACACUAGUGAGUUAUUUUGAUGAUGGUUUUUGCACAUUACUCAUGGAAAUAAAUGGUGUGGACUUCUUCUGUUAAUACCAAGUUAGCAGAGCCGCUUGCCCAUAAAAAAAGUUGGUAACCCUUUUUUUUUAAUAGUAUUUUGAGCAUGUUUGGAAAUUCUUCUGUAAUUGAUUCUGGAGAAAAAAUUGAGGAAGAAGCUUAGUGAGCAGCUUCUCUUUGUGCCAGAAUUGAUUCUAGAGAAAAAAUAAGUUGAUCCAAAAAUGCUAUAAAAGUAUAUAUGGAGCCCAAGGAAGAAAAUUGAUGGACAUUGCUUCCAGUUUUCAAUGUAUUGUUUGCGAAAGGUGAUGUUAAUGGAUUGUUGUGUUUGAGGAGCUCCAUUGAAAUUAAGGUUGAAGAUUUAAAUUUUGUGAGUUAAGGUGCUUCCACAAAGUUUCAAGCUGUCAUGGGUUGGGGCGAAAUUGAGGAAGCUGUAUUUGGGAGUGGGGUUUAACGUAAGUGAAUGAUUUUUCCUCUUUUCCAAGCAGUGUUAUCAAAUAGCGGCUAUAGCGGCCGCGACCCGCUAUAGCGUAGCGGAUUUUAGGGCCACCGCAAUCGCUACGCCGCGACAUAGCGGCCACCGCGAGAAGCGCAAUUGCGGCCGCGACGGCCGUAGCGGCGCUGGAAGCUAAACGGAAAUAGCGGAUUUUGAGGAAUACUGCACGUUUUUUUUAUUGUUUUGGGUACUUCAUGCACUGGGUGUUGAGUACAGGUCUUACUAUUGCAAACAGAUUGCUAAACAUAGUGAAGGAUUAUUAUUUUCUACUUGGCUUUGGGUCAAAGUUUUAGCGAGUUAAGGUUUAUUUUACCCAUUGUUUGGCUUCUUACUGCAGUUGACAAUUUAUAGCUUUCAUUGAAGAAAAGAUGGUCUUUGGCAUUGUGAAUUCAUGUUUAAUGGGCUUUCUGCAGUUUUGUUUGUGUGAGUGCCUUUCUUUUUAGGAAAAUGUGUCUUUUGGCAAAAUAUAUUGGUGUUUUCUGUGGAUCAAGAUCUAUGCAUGUCCGAUAUUUGUUGGACUACAUUGCUUUAUUAUCCGAUAUUUUGAUUGUUUGAUUGAUUGAAUGGAAGAAUUACAAUUAAUUUUUCAUGUCCCUUUGUGAAUGGAAGCAUCGCUCAAUUAAGCUUGAAAGCAUUACUUUUGCCAUUAUAUAAUGCUUCUACUAAUAAGAAGGCUGAUUCAAUUCCAAAGAUGAAGAAGAAAAUGAUAAUGAGCUAAAAAAGAAAGUCAUCUCAAACAAGAAAAAGUUGUGACAUUUAUUUUUGCUGCUUAUCCAUUUUUUACUGCCGUCUUCCUUUUGAGAACUGUACUGAAAGGUUUAAUUUGGUUUCAGCUUCUUUCUAUUAAUUUGGCAUCAUGGCCAUUUUGGAAAUGCUUGGUAGUUUCUUUUUCAUUUUCCAGGUGUGGGAUGCUACUGCAUCAGACCCAAAGUUGCUGGGGUUUUUGAAAUCUUAUAGCAAUACCGUACCUAUGCCUAGGCAUUGGAGUCAGAAGAGAGUUUUUGCAGGGGAGAGGCUGUGGCAAUUACCAAGCCUGGACCUGUAGGUGUUUGGCAAUGGGCAUCCUUGAGUUAUUUGUCUUUUAUUAUCUGUUGUAUUGAACUGGCAUAUUAUGUGAUAUAAUGGGGAUAUAUAAUCAUGUGAUAUUUUUGCAUAAUAUUAUUGGGCAUUGAUUUAUGAUAAA